CAAAGGAUUAGUUCCAGCCUUAAUAUCAACUACCUACGAAAUUACACAUGCAAGUUUCCGCACUCCCGUGAGGACCCCCUUUGACUAUAGACAUAGAAAAAGAGCUGGCAUUAGGCUCUACAACCUGUAAGCCCACGACACCUAGCCACCCACACCCUCAAGGGUACUCAGCAGUGAUAAACCUUAAGCAAUGAGCGCAAGCCCGACUAAGUUACGUACUAUAGAGCUGGUAAACCUCGUGCCAGCCACCGCGGUUACACGAGGGGCUCAAGUUGAUACCUCCGGCACAAAGCGUGAUUAAAAUACUAACUAUUCUAUACUAUAGAAGCCCCCAAUGCCUGCUAGUUGAAUAGGUAUGCACAAAUAUUUCAACAUCGAAAGAAUCUAUACUAAACAGACUUUAUUUGACAUCACGAAAGCAAAGCUACAAACCGGGAUUAGAUACCCCGCUAUGCCUGCUGUAAAUAAACUACCGUCGCCAGGGCACUACGAACACUCGUUUAAAACCCAAAGAACUUGAUGGUACCCUAAACCCACCUAGAGGAGCCUGUUCUAUAAUCCGAUACCCCACGUUUUACCCCACCGCCUCUUGCCCCCCAGUCUAUAUACCGCCGUCGCCAGCCAACCUUACAAAAGAAUCACCGUAGGCAGGAACGCUUCUAUGCAAACACGUCAGGUCGAGGUGCAGCCAAUGAGGUCGGCAGAAAUGGGCUACACUCUCUUCCCAGAGAAUACGAAUAACUUAAUGAAAUCUUAUAUUUGAAGGUGGAUCUAGCAGUAAAUGAAAACAGUCUAUUUCAUUGAAGUUGGCUUCUAGGAUGCGUACACACCGCCCGUCACUCUCCUCCUCCCCCAAAUUUCUGGAGAAAAGUCGUAACAUGGUAAGUAUACCGGAAGGUGUGCUUGGAGA
rnacentral:ncRNA from 1 species